GGAAGAAGAAAGCCUCUCCUUUCUCCAGGUGCAGAGUAUGACAUUCACAUGGCCAUGACCUGUGGGAUGAAUGAGAGCCUGUGCUGACUGGGGGUGGA